rnacentral:rRNA from 1 species
AGGACGAACGCUGGCGGCGUGCUUAACACAUGCAAGUCGAGCGGUAAGGCCUUUCGGGGUACACGAGCGGCGAACGGGUGAGUAACACGUGGGUGAUCUGCCCUGCACUUCGGGAUAAGCCUGGGAAACUGGGUCUAAUACCGGAUAUGACCUCCUAUCGCAUGGUGGGUGGUGGAAAGAUUUAUCGGUGCAGGAUGGGCCCGCGGCCUAUCAGCUUGUUGGUGGGGUAAUGGCCUACCAAGGCGACGACGGGUAGCCGACCUGAGGAGGGUGACCGGCCACGACUGGGACUGAGACACGGCCCAGACUCCGUACGGGAGCAGCAGUGGGAAUAUGCACAAUAGGCGGAAAGACGUCGAUGCGAGACGGACGCCGGCG